rnacentral:hammerhead_ribozyme from 1 species
AUCCAGCUGACUAGUCGUAAAUUGGACAAAACGCGCGUCCUGGAU